rnacentral:lncRNA from 1 species
CGGGGAGGGGGCAGGCCCGGGAAGCCCUGCCGGCGGCCGGCCAUCUGCCCAGAGCCACUCUGCGGUGACUUCCGAGGGCUUAGCCACGGGCUGGUUCCACUCAAGCCUCUUCGGUUCGUUUCAAGGUGCAAGAAGCAAAAAUCACCGAAGCGAAGAUCAACGAGGCAAGAGAAAACUACCGGCCUGCGGCGGAGAGGGCCUCCCUGCUCUACUUCAUACUGAACGACCUCAACAAAAUCAACCCCAUCUAUCAGUUCUCCCUCAAGGCCUUCCACGUGGUGUUCGAGAAAGCCAUCCAGCGGACGGCGCCGGCCG